rnacentral:sRNA from 1 species
AGAUCAGCGGAUUCUGUCAGUGAAUAGAAUCAGCAGGGGAAUAAACCUGUUACAGAUACAGGUGACUGCCUCCUUGGUUCUAUAUAUCAUUAUAAAAAUGGCUCAUUUCUCCGUGUUUUUGUGGAUCUGUCUGUGAUGAAUUAUGAUAUUCUGUCUAGAACUGUGUAUUUUUUGUCCCCUUGUGUAAUUUUACUCAACAGGGUACUGGAGGAAAAGUAUAUAUUUUAAAAAUCAAAUUGUACAUAAUGUGUAUAUACGUAAAUGUAUAUAAAAAAUAAUCAUGUUUCAUUC